rnacentral:rRNA from 1 species
GACGAACGCUGGCGGCGUGCUUAACACAUGCAAGUCGAACGGAAAGGCCCUGCUUUUGUGGGGUGCUCGAGUGGCGAACGGGUGAGUAACACGUGAGUAACCUGCCCUUGACUUUGGGAUAACUUCAGGAAACUGGGGCUAAUACCGGAUAGGAGCUCCUGCUGCAUGGUGGGGGUUGGAAAGUUUCGGCGGUUGGGGAUGGACUCGCGGCUUAUCAGCUUGUUGGUGGGGUAGUGGCUUACCAAGGCUUUGACGGGUAGCCGGCCUGAGAGGGUGACCGGCCACAUUGGGACUGAGAUACGGCCCAGACGCCUACGGGAGGAAGCAGGGGGGAAUAGUGCACAAUGGGCGGAAGCCUGAUGCAGCAACGCCGCGUGCGGGAUGACGGCCUUCGGGUUGUAAACCGCUUUCGCCUGUGACGAAGCGUGAGUGACGGUAAUGGGUAAAGAAGCACCGGCUAACUACGUG